UUUUUGGAAGGCUUGAAUGAAGACUAUGAGACUAUCAAGUCUGGAAUUCUGGUUAUGGACCCCAUUCCAGAUAUGGAAAAGGUGUUGAAUAUGGCCCUGAAGCUUGAAAGAAGGAGCUCAAGAAGUCCAUU